rnacentral:rRNA from 1 species
UACAGAGGGUGCAAACGUUGUUCGGAAUUACUGGGCGUAAAGCGCGUGCAGGCGGCCUUGCAAGUCGGACGUGAAAUCCCACGGCUCAACCGUGGAAGUGCAUUCGAAACUGCGAGGCUGGAGUCCUGGAGAGGAAAGUGGAAUACUCGGUGUAGAGGUGAAAUUCGUAGAUAUCGAGUGGAACACCGGUGGCGAAGGCGGCUUGCUGGGCAGGUACUGACGCUGAGACGCGAAAGCGUGGGGAGCAAACAGG